rnacentral:rRNA from 1 species
AUGAGCCGUUGGUAUGCUUGUAAACUUCCACUGAAUGUUAAUUCUGUGUCCAGGAAAGAAUCUAGUGCUAAAAAGCACCAAACUGGAGUUUUUUCAUACGGAAAAAUGGAGCAUGCCGACACAAUGGAAAAAAUAUACAUUUGUUCACCCACAAAGAAAGAUAUACAGUUUGUUUUACUAAGUCCGUCUUUUGAACUCAAAGGGUUACUCAUCCAUUUUAUUCACAAUUCAAUAUAUACAUUCUUGCCAUGUGCAGUGUGCGUUUUUUGCUCUUUUGUUGCAAAAAUUUCACCAAUCAUGUAA